rnacentral:rRNA from 1 species
GACGAACGCUGGCGGCGUGCCUAAUACAUGCAAGUAGAACGCUGAAGAGAGGAGCUUGCUCUUCUUGGAUGAGUUGCGAACGGGUGAGUAACGCGUAGGUAACCUGCCUGGUAGCGGGGGAUAACUACUGGAAACGAUAGCUAAUACCGCAUAAUAGUAGAUGUUGCAUGACAUUUGCUUAAAAGGUGCAAUUGCAUCACUACCAGAUGGACCUGCGUUGUAUUAGCUAGUUGGUGAGGUAACGGCUCACCAAGGCAACGAUACAUAGCCGACCUGAGAGGGUGAUCGGCCACACUGGGACUGAGACACGGCCCAGACUCCUACGGGAGGCAGCAGUAGGGAAUCUUCGGCAAUGGACGGAAGUCUGACCGAGCAACGCCGCGUGAGUGAAGAAGGUUUUCGGAUCGUAAAGCUCUGUUGUAAGAGAAGAACGAGUGUGAGAGUGGAGAGUUCACACUGUGACGGUAUCUUACCAGAAGGGCGG